GAAUGCAAGCAGGAGAAGUCAUUAACAUAUACACAUGAAUGCAUUUUCUAAAUGAAACUUAAGAACACAGCAGAAGUAAGGGACCGAGGAAAGUUUUCUUCAAUUUAUGAAUCUGACAAGACACAUCACAGAAUAAUUAUCUUUUUUCUAAACUUCUCCUGAAGAUCUGCAGUGAUGGGACUCCAGCUCCUCAACUUGCUUUUACAAGCUCAGGUUUAAAAUCCUGCUCCAACAUGCUUAGGAAUCCUUAAUGCUGACCCCUACUGUGACCAGCUGGCCAUCUUUCCAUCUUUUUCUCCUAGAGACUGCCUUUACUUCAGGAAAAGCAGUGUUUGCAGAUGGAAUUUUACAAAUAAAGGCAGAAUCAAG